UACGUAGGGUGCGAGCGUUGUCCGGAAUUAUUGGGCGUAAAGAGCGUGUAGGCGGCCUUACAGGUCAGCUGUGAAAACUCGAGGCUCAACCUCGAGACGUCGGUUGAAACCGUAUGGCUAGAGUCCGGAAGAGGAGAGUGGAAUUCCCGGUGUAGCGGUGAAAUGCGCAGAUAUCGGGAAGAACACCCGUGGCGAAGGCAGGUCUCUGGGCCACUACUGACGCUGAGAAGCGAAAGCAUGGGGAGCGAACAGG
rnacentral:rRNA from 1 species